rnacentral:rRNA from 1 species
UACGUAGGGGGCGAGCGUUAUCCGGAUUCAUUGGGCGUAAAGCGCGCGUAGGCGGCCCGCUAAGCGGGACCUCUAACCUGGGGGCUCAACCUCCAGCCGGGUCCCGAACUGGCGAGCUCGAGUGCGGUAGGGGCAGGCGGAAUUCCCGGUGUAGCGGUGGAAUGCGCAGAUAUCGGGAAGAACACCGAUGGCGAAGGCAGCCUGCUGGGCCGACACUGACGCUGAGGCGCGAAAGCUAGGGGAGCGAACAGG